UACGAAGGGGGCUAGCGUUGUUCGGAAUCACUGGGCGUAAAGCGUACGUAGGCGGAACCAUUAAGGUCGGGGGUGCAAAUCCCAGGGCUCAACCCUGGAACUGCCUUGCGAUACUGGUGGUCUGGAGUCGGGAGAGGUGAGUGGAACUCCUAGUGUAGAGGUGAAAACUUGUAGAUAUUAGGAAGAACACCAGUGGCGAAGGCGGCUCACUGCCCGGUACUGACGCUGAGGUAGAAAGCCGUGGG
rnacentral:rRNA from 1 species